GAUGAAAACGUAGCGAAAUGCGAUAAGUAGUGUGAAUUGCAGAAUUCAGUGAAUCAUCGAAUCUUUGAACGCACAUUGCGCCCCUUGGUAUCCCGAGGGGCAUGCCUGUUCGAGCGUCAUUUCACCACUCAAGCCUGGCUUGGUGUUGGGCGACGUCCUCUUUGGGGACGCGCCUCGAAACGCUCGGCGGCGUGGCACCGGCUUUAAGCGUAGCAGAAUCUUUCGCUUUGGAAGUCGGGGCCCCGUCUGCCGGAAGACCUGCUCGCAAGGUUGACCUCGGAUCAGGCAGGGAUACCCGCUGAACUUAAGCAUAUCAAUAAGCGGAGGA
rnacentral:misc_RNA from 1 species